GGCCUUGUAGCUCAGCGGUUAGAGCAUUGGUCUUGUAAACCAGGGGUCGUGAGUUCAACUCUCACCAAGGCCU